GAGGACUUGGAAAUCAGGGCAUCUGGUUAGCCUGGCAGAGGUAUCCAGUGGCAGACACCAGGAAUCAGGAAGAAGAUGCCAUAGCAUAGACUUCUUCAAGAUGUCUGUGUCACCAGUCUUAGGAUAUGACACCUGUCUUCAAGGUUCAAGAUGGCUGUUAGUCAACCCAAAUUUCACUUCAUUGUAAGGAAAGAGGACAAAGGAAGAGAAGAAUGCAAGCUGAUUUCAUCUUAAGGAGACCUUCCAGAAGUUCCAUAUACCAUGCUUGUGCACAUUUUCAGAGAUUGGAACACACAGGCCACAUGUAGCUGCAACAGAGGCUGGGAAUUGCCAUCCUGAUGGAAAGAUGGCAGCUAAAAGCAUCACCCCUUCCUUGUGUCUCCACAUAAAGCAGAAGACUGGACAUUGUUCAGCAGAUGAUUAAUCUGUGAAAAUUUAUUACCUUGUAAAUGGUUUAAUUUGCAUGUGGUUAAAAUGACAAAGGGACAGUAGUUUACAGGGCAAAAAUGUGUUUGAUGAGUAAUUAGAGCUUAAUCAGAGCAAAUGUUUCAGAUUCAGUGUAGUGUUAUUUUCCUUGCAUCAUCGAGAGAUGAAAAAUCAGAGGACUUUACAUUUCACAGCAUCAAGAAUACAGUGAAAAGAUUCUGCCCCAAAGGGCAAAGUCCUCGUUCUGUUUUCUGGUGCAUUUUUGAGUUUACACAUGCUCUGACUGCUGAAAGCAGAAUAUACCUCCUCUUAAAUAUUUGCUUUCUAAGGGCAGUCUCCAGGAUGUGUAAGCUCUGAAAUACAGUAGUUAUCAGAAGUCAUAAUCCUGACCUGUGGUACAGCAUAGGAAAUUCUAUUUGUUAGAGCUAAUUUUUGUUUGCUUAAGUUAUAAACUUUAUUCAUCAUGGAGAAUUGUAUUUUCUCUUCUGUUUUGUUACAAUUAAGCUAAUUAUCACCAUAUGUGUUAUCGUUGCAGUUUCAAGUAUUUUCCAUAUGAACUUCCUUCAUGUUUUCUCCCUAUAGCUGUGUAAAUGAAAUAUGG
rnacentral:lncRNA from 1 species